AUGUUCCUAAAUAUAGAUCAAAAGUGCUAAAAAUCUUCAAAAAUGUGAAAUAUGCCUUUAGUGUUUGCUUCUAUUGACGGAUUAAGCAGCCAAUGGCUGGCGCAGUCUGAUUUCGCAUCAGCCAAUAGAGUUGAUUGUCCCGCCCCUUUCAACAGCUGACGGUUGUUUCGCUCAGAACGUGGCAGACAGGCUUGAGAGCGAACAGCUGACGGUUGUUUCGCUCAGAACGCUUGAGAGCUAACACCUGACGGAUGUUUCCGCAAAGAGCUGGUAGGAAAUUGACGAAUCUGGAAAUUGAUCUCGGAGGGUUUCCCUCAUGAACAACUGAAGCCCGAAAAAAGCCGUUGAUAGCGUCGGAGCAUCAGUCAGGUUUUUUUUCUUGUAUGGUACACUUUUGGCCUGGUGAGCCAGAGAUUCCAAGACCCUCCUCUCCUGAACCUGGAUGGCGAGCCCCAGCCCAGAGGACCAGGCGCACGGGUAGAUAGUGACCCGACUGGUCACCAGCUGAGAGACUUUGACUGAACAAUUGAUGCAUUGGAGACUGAAUUAUUCAACUAAUUUAUUUAUUACUUUAUGCGCGCAAUAUUUGUUUGUCUUUUUUUAAAUGUGGAUCCACAAAUGUUCAUUAUAUUAAAUUUUGCUCUUUUCUUU